AUUGAACGCUGGCGGCAGGCCUAACACAUGCAAGUCGAGCGAGCGGCGGACGGGUGAGUAAUGUAUGGGGACUGCCCGAUAGAGGGGGAUAACUACUGGAAACGGUGGCUAAUACCCCAUACUGUCGGAUAACCAAAAUUGGAUUAGCUAGUAGGUAAGGUAAUGGCUUACCUAGGCGACGAUCCCUAGCUGGUCUGAGAGGAUGAUCAGCCACACUGUGACUGAGCAACGGCCCAGACUCCUACGGAGGCAGCAGUGGGGAAUCUUGCGCAAUGGGCGCAAGCCUGAUGCAUCCAUGCCGCGUGUAUGACGAAGGCCCUAGGGUUGUAAAGUACUUUCAGUCGGGAGGCGUUACCGACAGAAAAAGCACCGGCUAACUCCGUGCCAGCCGCCGCGGUAAUAC
rnacentral:rRNA from 1 species